CAUGUCUCCUUCAGAGUUUAUUUGGCAAAACAUCAAAUCACCCAGGUGACUCAACUCCCCUACAGCCCAUGUUUGGUACCCUGUGACACCUGGCUUUUCCCAAAACUAAAAUCACCUUUGAAAGAGAAGAGAUUUCAGACCAUCAAUGAGAUUCAGGAAAUUACAAGGGGUUAUCUGAUGGCGAUUGGGAGAACUGUGUGGAGUCCCAAGGUGCCUA